rnacentral:rRNA from 1 species
GACGAACGCUGGCGGUGUGCUUCACACAUGCAAGUCGAACGAGGUAGCAAUACCUAGUGGCGGACGGGUGAGUAACGCGUGGGAAUCUGCCUUUAGAUGGGGGAUAACGGGUCGAAAGACUCGCUAAUACCGCAUAUGACGAAAGUUGAAAGGAGUAGUCCGUCUAAAGAUGAGCCCGCGUCCGAUUAGCUAGUUGGUAGAGUAAAAGCCUACCAAGGCGACGAUCGGUAGCUGGUCUGAGAGGAUGAUCAGCCACAAUGGGACUAGAGACACGGCCCAUAACUCCUACGGGAGGCAGCAGUGGGGAAUUUUACGCAAUGGGCGAAAGCCUGACGUAGCGACACCGCGUGAGCGAAGAAGCCCCUUGGGG